CACGUAGGGCGCAAGCGUUGUCCGGAAUUAUUGGGCGUAAAGAGCUCGUAGGCGGUCUGUUGCGUCCGCUGUGAAAACUCGGGGCUUAACCCCGAGCCUGCAGUGGAUACGGGCAGACUGGAGUACUGCAGGGGAGACUGGAAUUCCUGGUGUAGCGGUGGAAUGCGCAGAUAUCAGGAGGAACACCGGUGGCGAAGGCGGGUCUCUGGGCAGUAACUGACGCUGAGGAGCGAAAGCGUGGGGAGCGAACAG
rnacentral:rRNA from 1 species